ACACGACUACAUUAGAUACCCGUGUAGUCCUAGCCGUAAACGAUACUCGCUAGGUGUCGGCCACGGUGCGACCGUUGUCGGUGCCGUAGGGAAGCCGUGAAGCGAGCCACCUGGGAAGUACGGCCGCAAGGCUGAAACUUAAAGGAAUUGGCGGGGGAGCACAACAACAGGUGGAGCUUGCGGUUUAAUUGGAUUCAACGCCGGAAAUCUUACCGGGACCGACAGCAACAUGAAGGCCAAGCUGAAGACUUUGCCGGAUUAGCUG
rnacentral:rRNA from 1 species